UACGUAGGGUGCGAGCGUUGUCCGGAAUUAUUGGGCGUAAAGAGCUCGUAGGCGGCCUGUUGCGUCGGUUGUGAAAACUCGGGGCUUAACUCCGGGCCUGCAGUGGGUACGGGCAGACUAGAGUGCGGUAGGGGAGACUGGAAUUCCUGGUGUAGCGGUGAAAUGCGCAGAUAUCAGGAGGAACACCGGUGGCGAAGGCGGGUCUCUGGGCCGUAACUGACGCUGAGGAGCGAAAGCGUGGGGAGCGAACAGG
rnacentral:rRNA from 1 species